GGGUGUUAGGGCACGACACCGGAGAGGGAGCCUGAGAAACGGCUACCACNUCNAAGGAUGGCAGCAGGCGCGCAAAUUACCCAAUCCCAACACGGGGAGGUAGUGACAAGAAAUAACAAUACGGGGUUCUUUCGGAUCUCGUAAUUGGAAUGAGUACAAUUUAAAUCUCUUAACGAGGAACAAUUGGAGGGCAAGUCUGGUGCCAGCAGCCGCGGUAAUUCCAGCUCCAAUAGCGUAUAUUAAAGUUGUUGCAGUUAAAAAGCUCGUAGUUGAAUUUCGGGAUCAAUUUAUCGGUCGUGCCUCCGGUACGUACUGGUUUUAUUGGUUCCUCCCUUCUGACGAACCAUGAUGUCAUUAAUUUGACGUGGUGGAGAAUCAGGACUGUUACCUUGAAAAAAUUAGAGUGUUUAAAGCAGGCUAACGCUUGAAUACAUUAGCAUGGAAUAAUGAAAUAGGACGUUCGACCCUAUCUUGUUGGUUUCUAGGAUCGACGUAAUGAUUAAUAGGGAUAGUUGGGGGCAUUAGUAUUCAAUUGUCAGAGGUGAAAUUCCUGGAUUUAUUGAAGACUAACUACUGCGAAAGCAUUUGCCAAGGAUGUUUUCAUUAAUCAAGAACGAAAGUUAGGGGAUCGAAGACGAUCAGAUACCGUCGUAGUCUUAACCAUAAACUAUGCCGACUAGGGAUCGGAUGAUGUUAAUUUUUUAAUGACUCAUUCGGCGCCUUACGGGAAACCAAAGUGUUUGGGUUC
rnacentral:rRNA from 1 species